rnacentral:rRNA from 1 species
CCUACGGGGGGCAGCAGUGAGGAAUAUUGGUCAAUGGCCGCAAGGCUGAACCAGCCAAGUAGCGUGAGGGAAGACUGCCCUAUGGGUUGUAAACCUCUUUUAUGCGGGGAUAAAGGUGUCCACGUGUGGAUGUUUGCAGGUACCGCAUGAAUAAGGACCGGCUAAUUCCGUGCCAGCAGCCGCGGUAAUACGGAGGAUCCGAGCGUUAUCCGGAUUUAUUGGGUUUAAAGGGAGCGCAUAUGGGUUGUUAAGUCAGUUGUGAAAGUUUGCGGCUCAACCGUAAAAUUGCAAUUGAUACUGGCAGUCUUGAGUAUAGUUGAGGUAGGCGGAAUUCGUGGUGUAGCGGUGAAAUGCUUAGAUAUCACGAAGAACACCGAUUGCGAAGGCAGCUUACUAAACUGUGACUGACAUUGAUGCUCGAAAGUGUGGGUAGCAAACAGGAUUAGAUACCCCUGUAGUC